AUGAUUAGCGCCAAACCAGGGCGUGUCCUGGCGAUGGUUGCGUGCACAGAACGUCUAGGUGUGCCCCGUGGCUCUGGAAUGUUCAGGCAAGCGCUGCACACCGUCUCAUGCUUCAGCGAGGACAAGAUCGCUGCCAAAGUGGACUACUUGAAGAGGACACUUAGGUGGUCAGAUACCGAGGUUGGCAUUGCUGUGUCCAAGGCUCCGGUUUUGCUGACAAGAUCAAAUGGCGUGCUGCAGCGUAUGUCAGACUUCCUAAUCUCUGAGGUGGGAUUGGAGCCGGCCUACAUUGCUCGUCGCCCCGCUAUGCUCACUUACAGCCUGGAGGGACGGCUCAGGCCCCGCUACUAUGUUAUGAGGUUUCUUAAGGAAAGUGGAUUGCUAAAUCAUGACAGAGACUACUAUAGUAUGGUGGUGGUCGGCGAGAAGGUAUUUGUCGAGAAGUUCAUAUGCCCUCAGAAGCAAGCUGCACCACACCUUGCUAAAGACUAUGCAGCUGCUUGCACAGGGCAGGUGCCUGCUACAUUCACAUUUACAUGA
rnacentral:rRNA from 1 species